GUUGUAUGGUUAAGUGACUAAGCGUACACGGUGGAUGCCUGGGCAGUCAGAGGCGAUGAAGGACGUACUAACUUGCGAUAAGCGUAGAUGAGGCAGUAAGAGCCACUUGAGUCUACGAUUUCCGAAUGGGGAAACCCAACUGCAUAAGCAGUUAUCUCAAUGUGAAUUCAUAGCAUUGUGAGGCGAACCGGGGGAACUGAAACAUCUAAGUACCCCGAGGAAGAGAAAUCAACCGAGAUUCCGGCAGUAGCGGCGAGCGAAACCGGAUUAGCCCUUAAGCUAAUCUUGCGUUAGGUGAACAUGCUGGAAAGCAUGGCAAUAAAGGGUGAUAGCCCCGUAACCAACA
rnacentral:rRNA from 1 species